rnacentral:rRNA from 1 species
AGAGUUUGAUCCUGGCUCAGGAUGAACGCUGGCGGCGUGCCUAAUACAUGCAAGUCGAGCGAACAGACGAGGAGCUUGCUCCUCUGACGUUAGCGGCGGACGGGUGAGUAACACGUGGAUAACCUACCUAUAAGACUGGGAUAACUUCGGGAAACCGGAGCUAAUACCAGAUAACAUGUUGAACCGCAUGGUUCAACAGUGAAAGACGGUCUUGCUGUCACUUAUAGAUGGAUCCGCGCCGCAUUAGCUAGUUGGUAAGGUAACGGCUUACCAAGGCAACGAUGCGUAGCCGACCUGAGAGGGUGAUCGGCCACACUGGAACUGAGACACGGUCCAGACUCCUACGGGAGGCAGCAGUAGGGAAUCUUCCGCAAUGGGCGAAAGCCUGACGGAGCAACGCCGCGUGAGUGAUGAAGGUCUUCGGAUCGUAAAACUCUGUUAUUAGGGAAGAACAAAUGUGUAAGUAACUAUGCACGUCUUGACGGUACCUAAUCAGAAAGCCACGGCUAACUACGUGCCAGCAGCCGCGGUAAUAC